GAACGCUGGCGGCAUGCCUAACACAUGCAAGUCGAACGAGACCUUCGGGUCUAGUGGCGCACGGGUGCGUAACGCGUGGGAACCUGCCCUUAGGUUCGGAAUAACUCCCCGAAAGGGGUGCUAAUACCGGAUAAUGUCUUCGGACCAAAGAUUUAUCGCCUUUGGAUGGGCCCGCGUUGGAUUAGCUAGUUGGUAGGGUAAAAGCCUACCAAGGCGACGAUCCAUAGCUGGUCUGAGAGGAUGAUCAGCCACACUGGGACUGAGACACGGCCCAGACUCCUACGGGAGGCAGCAGUGGGGAAUAUUGGACAAUGGGCGAAAGCCUGAUCCAGCAAUGCCGCGUGAGUGAUGAAGGCCUUAGGGUUGUAAAGCUCUUUUACCCGGGAUGAUAAUGACAGUACCGGGAGAAUAAGCUCCGGCUAACUCCGUG
rnacentral:rRNA from 1 species